UAGGGAAUAUUGGGCAAUGGUCGCAAGACUGACCCAGCCAUGCCGCGUGCAGGAAGACGGCCCUCUGGGUUGUAAACUGCUUUUAUCUGGGAAGAAAAAGUCCAUGCGUGGAAAAUUGCCGGUACCAGAUGAAUAAGCACCGGCUAACUCCGUG
rnacentral:rRNA from 1 species